UGCGUAGGCGGGCUAAUAAGUCAGUGGUGAAAUCUCUCGGCUCAACCGGGAAACUGCCAUUGAUACUGUUAGUCUUGAGUUCGGUUGAGGUAGGCGGAAUGUGUAAUGUAGCGGUGAAAUGCUUAGAUAUUACACAGAACACCAAUUGCGUAGGCAGCUUACUAGACCGACACUGACGCUGAGGCACGAAAGCGUGAGGAGCGAACAGGAUUAGAUACCCUGGUAGUC
rnacentral:rRNA from 1 species